CAUGAAGCCCCCCUCGAGAUGAGAUUUCCCAUAGCGUCAAGCUAGUAAGAUCCCUGAAAGAUGAUCAGGUUGAUAGGUCAGAGGUGGAAGCGUGGCGACACGUGGAGCUGACUGAUACUAAUCGAUCGAGGACUUAACCAA
rnacentral:rRNA from 1 species